rnacentral:rRNA from 1 species
AACGAACGCUGGCGGCAGGCUUAACACAUGCAAGUCGAGCGCCCCGCAAGGGGAGCGGCAGACGGGUGAGUAACACGUGGGAAUCUACCCAUCCCUACGGAACAACUCCGGGAAACUGGAGCUAAUACCGUAUACGCCCUUUGGGGGAAAGAUUUAUCGGGGAUGGAUGAGCCCGCGUUGGAUUAGCUAGUUGGUGGGGUAAAGGCCUACCAAGGCGACGAUCCAUAGCUGGUCUGAGAGGAUGAUCAGCCACAUUGGGACUGAGACACGGCCCAAACUCCUACGGGAGGCAGCAGUGGGGAAUAUUGGACAAUGGGCGCAAGCCUGAUCCAGCCAUGCCGCGUGAAUGAUGAAGGCCUUAGGGUUGUAAAGUUCUUUCACCGAUGAAGAUAAUGACGGUAGUCGGAGAAGAAGCCCCGGCUAACUUCGUGCCAGCAGCCGCUGUAAAAC